GGCACGUGCCUGGUGGGGACUUGGAUCCCGGGGCAGGCAUUGGGGGAGGCACCUGGUGGGGGCCUGGAUCCCUGGGGCAGACUGCACCGGGGAUGCCCUUCUCAGGCAAGGCUGCUUCAGGGGCACCUGGCUCCUGGCUGCCUGCGGUCUGGCCCACACCCCUCACCACCAGUCACUCUUGUGGGGAGACUGCGUCUCCCCUCUGGGGGCCGGGUUCAGGGUGAUGAAGGAGAGAGAACGCUCUGACCUGGAGGGCAGACAGGGCCACCUUCCUUUCUCCUGCAGAGUGAAAUUCCCUCUCACAUGCCAGGGUCCUUCUCUGGCCUCUGGCAACUCUGCAAAUGCUCUGACCUUUGUCCUGCCCCACAUUCUGGCAGGAGGGCCUGCAGCCUGGGUGUCAGCCCCCACCCCCACGCCCCGUCUGUGGUUGGACCUCAGUGCAGUGCUUCUGUGCUUGUCCCGCAGGUUCAGGCGUGAACGGCCUGGAGGAGCCCAGCAUCGCCAAGCGACUGAGGGGCACCCCAGAGCGGAUCGAGCUGGAGAACUACCGCCUGUCCCUGAGGCAGGCUGAGGCACUGCAGGAGGUACCGGAGGAGACUCAGGCCGAGCACAACCUGAGCAGCGUGCUGGACACGGGCGCCGAGGAGGACGUCGCCAGCAGGUCAGCACGCAGGGCUGCAGGGCGCCCACCCGCCACACGGCCCUAAGAGCCUCCUCACCUCUGUGUGUCUCGGUUUCUUCUCAGUGAAGGGAGGCCUCCUGUCUUUCCUGCUGCCCGCAGUCCAUUCUCCCCAGUCCCUUUUAGGUUCUUAGCCUCAUCUUCUAGUCAGUGAGGACUCCUCCAUCAGACUCAAUUCAGAGAUUCAGGAAGUAUUUAUUCCUUGAGGACCUGACAUGUCCCCAGCUCCAAGUCUGUCAUUGGGAAGGAAAGUGGCAGGCUCUGCCCCCGGGUUAUUCACAGAUUCAGCAGAGGGAAGGACGGGCACACGGGGAGGGACUCUGGGUGAUUCAGCCACCAGUGCACCGGGCCGUCUUGAGGGAGGCCUAGUCCGUCCCCCAGGCAUCUUUUUUUCUCCUGUAGGUAAAGAAAGGGACUGAAAAUGUGUGCCCCAGGGGCCGCAUGCAGCACCAGUGGAUGCAUGCUUAGGCAGUUCCAGAGCUGUAAUCACAUCCAGCUGGGUGACACCUUUGGGGAUGUGCAUGCUAUAACCCUAGGACUCCCUAUAUCCACUGCCCUGCACCCCAGGGCUUCCAGUAUCAGCGAAGGCUUCAAAGUGUUCAGCCGAUUACAGAUGAUCAAGAGAGCCAAGAAUCAAAAGGGGGUCCGGUGUCCUGUGGGGCUUCAGGACAGAAACACAGGCUGCAAACCCGAGGGGCAGAGGCCUCAAGUGGCCUUGGAGAGCAUUUGAAUCACACACCUUGAUUUAGCCAUGAUGAAGGGAACAUGUGGGGAUAAGGAGAGCAGAGCAGUUUUUUUAAGGUCCAAGAACGCUUUCCAGAAGGUGUUUGCUGGGCCGAGCUGCUUUCAGCUGCACCCGCCACCUCAGCCCUCAUGUCAGACACCCUCUGCCUAGAUUCAUUCUUGGGCUGCCUCACAGACCGCUCCUCCGUGCAUGCCGGGGGCAGCCUCUGCCUUGGUGUCUGCAGUUCCAAAGCUGUCACUGAUGGUGCAUCCUCAUCCAGAACUCUGCUUCCCUAUCCAGAGCACCCAUGGAGGCCCCACUCUCCCCACUGUGCCCAGAUGAGGGGGAGCCCACUCUCUCUCUCCACUGACCCUGCAGUGAGGGUGAGAGAUGCUGUGUGUCAAAACACAUUUAUAAACCCUUGAGCAGAGCUACUGGCUUGACCUUGGGCUGAGUGUGGGUCAGCACCAUUUUCUCCACUGUAAUUUAUAAAUUGUGAGAGGCAGUGGGGCAGCAAGUUCAUGUAAUGUAGCAAGGACAUUCCAGGAAGGCUAACCCCUGGCAUUUAUGGCAGGUAUGACAGGAGGGCAGCACAGAAAACAUGAAAUCAGUCAGCAUCUAUGCAAUGCAAUACAUGCCUCAUCUUACUCAGAUUGAAGUUAAAAAAAGAUUUUAAAACUAGCAUUCAUGCUGGGCGCAGUGGCUCAUGCCUGUAAUCCCAGCACUUUGGGAGGCCAAGGUGGGCACAUCACUUAAGGUCAGGAGUUCAAGACCAGCCUGGCCAACAUAAUGAAACCCUGUCUCUACUAAAAAUACAAAAAUUAGCUGGGCAUGGUGGUGCACACCUGUAAUCCCAGCUACUUGGGAGGGUAAGGCAUGAGAAUUGCUUGAACCUGGGAGGCGGAGGUUGCAGCGAGCCGAGAUCAUGCCACUGCACCACUGCACUCCAGCCUGUGUGACAGAAUGAGACUCCAUCUCAAAAAAAAUUAAAAUUAAAAUCAAAAAAUAAAAUAAAGGCCAGGCACGGUGGCUCACACAGGAGAAUCACUUGAACCUGGGAGGCGGAGGUUGCAGUGAUCUGAGAUCACACCAGUACACUCCAGCCUGGGAGAUGGUGAGACUCCGUCUC
rnacentral:lncRNA from 1 species